AUUGAACGCUGGCGGUAUGCUUAACACAUGCAAGUCGAACGGUAGCAGGCCUUCGGGCGCUGACGAGUGGCGGACGGGUGAGUAAUGCAUAGGAAUCUGCCUAUUAGUGGGGGACAACGUGGGGAAACUCACGCUAAUACCGCAUACGCCCUACGGGGGAAAGCGGGGGAUCUUCGGACCUCGCGCUAAUAGAUGAGCCUAUGUUGGAUUAGCUAGUUGGUAGGGUAAAGGCCUACCAAGGCGACGAUCCAUAGCUGGUCUGAGAGGAUGAUCAGCCACACUGGGGCUGAGACACGGCCCAGACUCCUACGGGAGGCAGCAGUGGGGAAUAUUGGACAAUGGGCGCAAGCCUGAUCCAGCAAUACCGCGUGUGUGAAGAAGGCCUGAGGGUUGUAAAGCACUUUCAAUGGGAAGGAAUACCUAUCGGCUAAUACCCGGUAGACUGACAUUACCCAUACAAGAAGCACCGGCUAACUCCGUGCCAGCAGCCGCGGUAAUACGGAGGGUGCAAGCGUUAAUCGGAAUUACUG
rnacentral:rRNA from 1 species